rnacentral:rRNA from 1 species
UACGUAGGGUCCGAGCGUUGUCCGGAAUUACUGGGCGUAAAGAGCUCGUAGGUGGUUUGUCGCGUUGUUCGUGAAAACUCACAGCUCAACUGUGGGCGUGCGGGCGAUACGGGCAGACUAGAGUACUGCAGGGGAGACUGGAAUUCCUGGUGUAGCGGUGGAAUGCGCAGAUAUCAGGAGGAACACCGGUGGCGAAGGCGGGUCUCUGGGCAACUACUGACGCUGAGGAGCGAAAGCGUGGGGAGCGAACAGG